rnacentral:rRNA from 1 species
GAUGAACGCUGGCGGCGUGCCUAAUACAUGCAAGUCGAGCGAACAGACGAGGAGCUUGCUCCUCUGACGUUAGCGGCGGACGGGUGAGUAACACGUGGAUAACCUACCUAUAAGACUGGGAUAACUUCGGGAAACCGGAGCUAAUACCGGAUAAUAUAUUGAACCGCAUGGUUCAAUAGUGAAAGACGGUUUUGCUGUCACUUAUAGAUGGAUCCGCGCCGCAUUAGCUAGUUGGUAAGGUAACGGCUUACCAAGGCAACGAUGCGUAGCCGACCUGAGAGGGUGAUCGGCCACACUGGAACUGAGACACGGUCCAGACUCCUACGGGAAGCAGCAGUAGGGAAUCUUCCGCAAUGGGCGAAAGCUUGGCGGAGCAACGCCGCGUGAGUGAUGAAGGUCUUCGGAUCGUAAAACUCUGUUAUUAGGGAAGAACAAAUGUGUAAGUAACUAUGCACGUCUUGACGGUACCUAAUCAGAAAGCCACGGCUAACUACGUG